rnacentral:rRNA from 1 species
GACGAACGCUGGCGGCGUGCUUAACACAUGCAAGUCGAACGGGCCCGCUCUCUUUUUUGGGGGUGGGUUGAGUGGCGAACGGGUGGGUAUCACGUGAGUAACCUGCCCCCUGCUCCUGGAUAACUGCUGGAAAGGGCGGCUAAUACGGGGUGUGCCGGCUGGUCCGCAUGGGCCUGGUCGGGAUAGUUGCAUCUUCGGGUGUUUCGGUGGGGGAUGGGCUCGCGGCCUAUCAGCUUGUUGGUGGGGUGAUGGCCCACCAAGGCGGUGACGGGUAGCCGGCCUGAGCGGGUGGGCGGCCACACUGGGACUGAGACACGGCCCAGCCUCCUGCGGGAGGCAGCAGUGGGGGGUAUUGCACAAUGGGCGGAAGCCUGAUGCAGCGACGUCGCGUGAGGGAUGGAGGCCUUCGGGUUGUGAACCUCUUUCUCCGGUGGUGAAGGCCCUGUCCGUUGCGGCGGGGUUGACGGUAGCCGGGUAUGAAGCGCCGGCUAACUACGUG